rnacentral:lncRNA from 1 species
CCACAAAUGAGCAGCCUCUAGAGUCAAGUGAACUUUUGUACUAUUUUCCCAUUACAGAUACAAAAUUCAAGCAGCAUCUUUCACCACCAGGAGGGAGUCAUUGCAUCUGAGGGUUCAAGUUCUCAAUGCCAAUUUCUCAGCAGUGGUAGGUCAGGUCUUUGAAGCUCUAUCCUAAAAUUGCAGAGCUCUAAAUAACCCAGAUGAAACCUAUUGGGAUGAAUUCACAACUGUCUGCAAGAGAAAGCUCCUGCUGACGUCAACAGGAGUUUAUCCUGAGGGCCUAAGAAUUAGCUUUACUCAAGCAAUGGCCCUGUCUCAUCACAUUGAUCUGAAUGUAGCUCUAAGAAUUUAUGUGCAAAACGAC